rnacentral:rRNA from 1 species
AGGACGAACGCUGGCGGCGUGCUUAACACAUGCAAGUCGAACGGUAAGGCCUUUCGGGGUACACGAGUGGCGAACGGGUGAGUAACACGUGGGUGAUCUGCCCUGCACUUUGGGAUAAGCCUGGGAAACUGGGUCUAAUACCGAAUAUGACCAUUGGUUGCAUGACUGGUGGUGGAAAGCUUUUGCGGUGUGGGAUGGGCCCGCGGCCUAUCAGCUUGUUGGUGGGGUUAAGGCCUACCAAGGCGACGACGGGUAGCCGGCCUGAGAGGGUGUCCGGCCACACUGGGACUGAGAUACGGCCCAGACUCCUACGGGAGGCAGCAGUGGGGAAUAUUGCACAAUGGGCGCAAGCCUGAUGCAGCGACGCCGCGUGAGGGACGACGGCCUUCGGGUUGUAAACCUCUUUCAGUAGGGACGAAGCGCAAGUGACGGUACCUACAGAAGAAGGACCGGCCAACUACGUGCCAGCAGCCGC